rnacentral:rRNA from 1 species
GACGAACGCUGGCGGCGUGCCUAAUACAUGCAAGUCGAACGAUGAAGGAAGAACUUGCUCUUCUGGAUGAUUUCCGCACGGGGGAGUAAAGCAUAGGUAAACUGCCUCUUAGAGGCGGGGAACAAUUCGAAAAGAUAGCUAAUACCGCAUAACAUUAGAUGAUGCAUGACGUUUACUUAAGAAGUGCAAUUGCAUUACUACCAGAUGGACCUGCGUUGUAUUAGCAAGUUGGUGGUGUAACGGCUCCCCAACGCGACGAGAGAUAGCCGACCUGAGGGGGGGAUCCGCCACACUGGGAACGGGAAACGGCCCAGACUCCUUAGGGGGGCAGGAGUAGGGGAACUUCGGGAAUGGACGGAAGGCUGACCGAGCAACGCCGCGUGAGUGAAUAAGGGUUUCGGGUCGUAAAGCUCUUGUUAAAGGGAAGAAAGAGUGUUGUAGUUGAAAGUGCACACUGUGACGGUACCUUACCAGAAAGGCACGGCUAACUACGUG